GAAUCUUCCUGAUGUCGAGAUCCCUGAUACUCUACGCAUUAAGCAACCUCAGUGUCCACACCAACCGGACAAUGUGGCAUGUGGAUACUACUUAAUGAGGAUGUUGAAGGAUUUGAUUGAACAUGCGAGUCCUGGGCAUUACUUGAGAACGCUAACAAGCACAUCAUAUACAGAGGCACAAAUUGAUGAGUUGCGACAAGAAUGGGCGACAUAUAUGUUGCCGAUAAUCCAAAGUUACCGACCUCGUUGAUAGGUUUUUUUUUUAAUUUUUUAACUCUUUCUUUAUACACAAUGCAAUAUUUGUUCAUUUUGAAUAUUUCUAACAAAUAUUGUAUUUCUUGUAUAUAUCUAACAAAUAUAUUUUUUUUCUUUCAAUUUAAUUGAUUAUUAAAUUAAUUUAAAUUUAGAUUAAAAUAAUUUAAA